rnacentral:tRNA from 2 species
GGGCGAUUAGCUCAGCUGGCUAGAGCGCUACGCUCACACCGUAGAGGUCACUGGUUCGAGUCCAGUAUCGCCCACCA